rnacentral:rRNA from 1 species
GAACGUGCCUUUAGGUUCGGAAUAGCUCCUGGAAACGGGUGGUAAUGCCGAAUGUGCCCUUCGGGGGAAAGAUUUAUCGCCUUUAGAGCGGCCCGCGUCUGAUUAGCUAGUUGGUGAGGUAACGGCUCACCAAGGCGACGAUCAGUAGCUGGUCUGAGAGGAUGACCAGCCACACUGGGACUGAGACACGGCCCAGACUCCUACGGGAGGCAGCAGUGGGGAAUCUUUCGCAAUGGGCGAAAGCCUGACGCAGCCAUGCCGCGUGAAUGAUGAAGGUCUUAGGAUUGUAAAAUUCUUUCACCGGGGACGAUAAUGACGGUACCCGGAGAAGAAGCCCCGGCUAACUUCGUGCCAGCAGCCGCGGUAAUACGAAGGGGGCUAGCGUUGCUCGGAAUUACUGGGCGUAAAGGGCGCGUAGGCGGAUCGUUAAGUCAGAGGUGAAAUCCCAGGGCUCAACCCUGGAACUGCCUUUGAUACUGGCGAUCUUGAGUAUGAGAGAG